CAGCUACACAUGCAGUCGAGCGGUAGCACAGAGAGCUUGCUCUCGGGUGACGAGCGGCGGACGGGUGAGUAAUGUCUGGGAAACUGCCUGAUGGAGGGGGAUAACUACUGGAAACGGUAGCUAAUACCGCAUAACGUCGCAAGACCAAAGUGGGGGACCUUCGGGCCUCAUGCCAUCAGAUGUGCCCAGAUGGGAUUAGCUAGUAGGUGGGGUAACGGCUCACCUAGGCGACGAUCCCUAGCUGGUCUGAGAGGAUGACCAGCCACACUGGAACUGAGACACGGUCCAGACUCCUACGGGAGGCAGCAGUGGGGAAUAUUGCACAAUGGGCGCAAGCCUGAUGCAGCCAUGCCGCGUGUGUGAAGAAGGCCUUCGGGUUGUAAAGCACUUUCAGCGGGGAGGAAGGCGGUGAGGUUAAUAACCUCAUCGAUUGACGUUACCCGCAGAAGAAGCACCGGCUAACUCCUUGCCAGCAGCCGCGGUAAUACGGAGGGUGCAAGCGUUAAUCGGAAUUACUGGGCGUAAAGCGCACGCAGGCGGUCUGUCAAGUCGGAUGUGAAAUCCCCGGGCUCAACCUGGGAACUGCAUUCGAAACUGGCAGGCUAGAGUCUUGUAGAGGGGGGUAGAAUUCCGGGUGUAGCGGUGAAAUGCGUAGAGAUCUGGAGGAAUACCGGUGGCGAAGGCGGCCCCCUGGACAAAGACUGACGCUCAGGUGCGAAAGCGUGGGGAGCAAACAGGAUUAGAUACCCUGGUAGUCCACGCUGUAAACGAUGUCGAUUUGGAGGUUGUGCCCUUGAGGCGUGGCUUCCGGAGCUAACGCGUUARAUCGACCGCCUGGGGAGUACGGCCGCAAGGUUAAAACUCAAAUGAAUUGACGGGGGCCCGCACAAGCGGUGGAGCAUGUGGUUUAAUUCGAUGCAACGCGAAGAACCUUACCUGGUCUUGACAUCCACAGAACUUUCCAGAGAUGGAUUGGUGCCUUCGGGAACUGUGAGACAGGUGCUGCAUGGCUGUCGUCAGCUCGUGUUGUGAAAUGUUGGGUUAAGUCCCGCAACGAGCGCAACCCUUAUCCUUUGUUGCCAGCGGUUAGGCCGGGAACUCAAAGGAGACUGCCAGUGAUAAACUGGAGGAAGGUGGGGAUGACGUCAAGUCAUCAUGGCCCUUACGACCAGGGCUACACACGUGCUACAAUGGCAUAUACAAAGAGAAGCGACCUCGCGAGAGCAAGCGGACCUCAUAAAGUAUGUCGUAGUCCGGAUUGGAGUCUGCAACUCGACUCCAUGAAGUCGGAAUCGCUAGUAAUCGUAGAUCAGAAUGCUACGGUGAAUACGUUCCCGGGCCUUGUACACACCGCCCGUCACACCAUGGGAGUGGGUUGCAAAAGAAGUAGGUAGCUUAACCUUCGGGAGGGCGCUUACCACCUUU
rnacentral:rRNA from 1 species